ACGCUGGCGGCACGCCUAACACAUGCAAGUCGAACGAAGUAGCAAUACUUAGUGGCAGACGGGUGAGUAACAUGUGGGUAUCUGCCCUUUGGCCUGGAAUAACACGAGGAAACUUGUGCUAAUACCGGAUAAGUCUUUACGGAGAAAGCUUUAUGCACCAUUGGAUGAGCCCGCACUUGAUUAGUUUGUUGGUGGGGUAAUGGCCUACCAAGACUGUGAUCAAUAGCUGAUUUGAGAGGAUGAUCAGCCACAUUGGGACUGAGACACGGCCCAAACUCCUACGGGAGGCAGCAGCGGGGAAUCUUGCACAAUGGAGGAAACUCUGAUGCAGCGAUGCCGCGUGAGUGAAGAAGGCCCUUGGGUUGUAAAGCUCUUUCGUCGGGGAAGAAAAUGACUGUACCCGAAUAAGAAGGUCCGGCUAACUUCGUGCCAGCAGCCGCGGUAAUACGAAGGGACCUAGCGUAGUUCGGAAUUACUGGGCUUAAAGAGUUCGUAGGUGGUUGAAAAAGUUAGUGGUGAAAUCCCAGAGCUUAACUCUGGAACUGCCAUUAAAACUUUUCAGCUAGAGUAUGAUAGAGGAAAGCAGAAUUUCUAGUGUAGAGGUGAAAUUCGUAGAUAUUAGAAAGAAUACCAAUUGCGAAGGCAGCUUUCUGGAUCAUUACUGACACUGAGGAACGAGAGCAUGGGUAGCGAAGAGGAUUAGAUACCCUCGUAGUCCAUGCCGUAAACGAUGUGUGUUAGACGUUGGAAAUUUAUUUUCAGUGUCGCAGCGAAAGCGAUAAACACACCGCCUGGGGAGUACGACCGCAAGGUUAAAACUCAAAUGAAUUGACGGGGACCCGCACAAGUAGUGGAGCAUGUGGUUUAAUUCGAAGAUACGCGCAGAACCUUACCAACACUUGACAUGUUCGUCGCGACUCUAAGAGAUUAGAGUUUUCGGUUCGGCCGGACGAAACACAGGUGCUGCAUGGCUGUCGUCAGCUCGUGUCGUGAGAUGUUGGGUUAAGUCCCGCAACGAGCGCAACCCUCACUUUUAGUUGCCAUCAUUAAGUUGGGCACUCUGAAAGAACUGCCAGUGAUAAGCUGGAGGAAGGUGGGGAUGACGUCAAGUCCUCAUGGCCCUUACGUGUUGGGCUACACACGUGCUACAAUGGUAUCUACAACAGGAAGCAAGACUGCGAGGUCAAGCAAAUCCUUAAAAGAUACCUCAGUUCGGAUUGCACUCUGCAACUCGAGUGCAUGAAGCUGGAAUUACUAGUAAUCGUGGAUCAGCGUGCCACGGUGAAUGCGUUCCCGGGUCUUGCACACACCGC
rnacentral:rRNA from 1 species